AGCGAACGCUGGCGGCAGGCUUAACACAUGCAAGUCGAGCGGGCAUAGCAAUAUGUCAGCGGCAGACGGGUGAGUAACGCGUGGGAACGUACCUUUUGGUUCGGAACAACUGAGGGAAACUUCAGCUAAUACCGGAUAAGCCCUUACGGGGAAAGAUUUAUCGCCGAAAGAUCGGCCCGCGUCUGAUUGGCUAGUUGGUGAGGUAAUGGCUCACCAAGGCGACGAUCAGUAGCUGGUCUGAGAGGAUGAUCAGCCACAUUGGGACUGAGACACGGCCCAAACUCCUACGGGAGGCAGCAGUGGGGAAUAUUGGACAAUGGGCGCAAGCCUGAUCCAGCCAUGCCGCGUGAGUGAUGAAGGCCCUAGGGUUGUAAAGCUCUUUUGUGCGGGAAGAUAAUGACGGUACCGCAAGAAUAAGCCCCGGCUAACUUCGUG
rnacentral:rRNA from 1 species